AAAGCGUGCGCAGGCGGUUAUGCAAGACAGAGGUGAAAUCCCCGGGCUCAACCUGGGAACUGCCUUUGUGACUGCAUAGCUAGAGUACGGUAGAGGGGGAUGGAAUUCCGCGUGUAGCAGUGAAAUGCGUAGAUAUGCGGAGGAACACCGAUGGCGAAGGCAAUCCCCUGGACCUGUACUGACGCUCAUGCACGAAAGCGUGGGGAGCAAACAGGAUUAGAUACCCCUGU
rnacentral:rRNA from 1 species